UUAUGCUCUCUCCCCCAAAUAACUCAUUCGUAUGAUAGCUCCAUAUCUGUUAGCUCCUCCCUCAUGCCUCUCACGUUCACACUCACUUACAUUUGGAUCUUAAUGGGAGUGGUUAAGCUAUUUCUUUCUUUGCAUCUGGAAAGUAUUGUAGGAAAUACUCAUGUAGAUGCCAAAAGUGCAAUAAUACGACUUAUUAUAAAUAGUGUGAGGAAGUCUGUUCACAGUUUAGAGCCACAGACCUUUACGCCAUAUUUAGAGGUUGAGAAAGACAGGAUUUUGGAAGUUGGAGGACACGUUCAAGUUGGAUGGAUCAAUGGAAGUUUGAACUUGACAAGAGUCAUUGCAACCGUUGCAACUUUGACAGACCUUGGCUUCCUAUGGUUUAGAGAAUUUUAUUUGGAAUCAUCUCGUGUUAUUUAGAUCUUUUAUACAAGGCAAAUAUGAAUACUGGAAGUGUGCUUGAGCUUUUCAAUUUUUCACAUCAAGUCCUCAAUGUCAUAGAAGUAGAGACUCUGUCAUCUACACAAUCACCCAGGAAUCCCCACUUUUCCCAGAUGUGACAAGUGAAAUAGAAAAGGAUACUUAAUUUUGAAGGCUUUGUGUUAGGCAGCUAUAGAAUAUUUUGUGUUGAAAGUAGUAACUUUUCAAUAUGUUGAAUAUUUAAGACUACUUGAAUACUUAAAGAACAUUUUGUUGUUGAUGACAGUGUUGAAUGUUUUAAACUAAUUUGUGGAUU